rnacentral:lncRNA from 1 species
AAUCAAUUAGUACUAUACAUACAUGUAUUAGAAAUAAUCAUCAUGAUCGGGAUUAGCUGGAUCAUAAGUCUCAUCAUCUUUAUCACACGUGUCGAUAUAAUCAUGCCCGUGCUCCGAAGGAGGAAUGUCGUCAUCGCUGUCAUUGCCUAAAUGUAAUCGCUCAACUAAUUCUUAAGUUCUUCACAUUCUGAACCUCCUCUCCAGCAUCCUCAUCAGCAACCCUUUCAUUGCCUACUUCCAUUCUGAUCGCUUCGGUUAAGUCUAUCUCAAAACUCCCUUCAAGCCCAUCUUCUUUAAAGAACUCUCUAUCAUAUGUGUUGGGGUCUAUGUUGUAAUCUUCAUUGUUUGGGAUAGGUACUUUACCAUGUGGUGAUACCUUGUACACAACAUCCCAACCCUUAAGACAUUCGAUGGUUUGACACGGGUAUGAGAGAUAGUAAACUUGCAUGGCCUGUUGAGCCACAAUAUAGACAUCGUCUCCUGGUAAGAAGGAUGAUUGUCGAAUUUCAGGAUCUAUCUCACUACUUCAGGAUCAAACCAAUGGCAUUUGAAUAUGAUGGGAUUAAGAGGUUUGCAACCAUGAAACAUGAGUUCGUAUAUUUCUUCAAUUCUUCCGUAAUACUCGACCCCAUCCAAACCUAGCAUAAAAACUUCGGUAUUUGUAG